rnacentral:lncRNA from 1 species
AGAACAACAUGACUGAAGGCGAUGAGGAACAGCUGAUCACCUGUGGAAGUCAUUUGUCCUAAAUUGUCAUGGACAGACCAUGUGCCUUACAGCAAGAAAAUUCUGUGAAUAAACAGGAAGCCAGCCAGCCAGGGAAGAUGCUUUUGUGAUAUAUCCCAGCAUGCUGAUGACCCCAAGGAGGACCACUGGAUACCUAGCAAGGAAAAAGAAGAACUGAUUGAAGAGUGGCAACCAGAACCUCUUGUUCCUCCUGUCCCAAAAGACCAUCCUGCUCUCAACUACAACAUCGUUUCAGGGCAAUAUGAUAAAAUUGAAAAAUUUCACAAAUGUCAGGAGAACAAGAUCUGGUGUCUGGGUUUCAACUCUUAGAGCUUCCCAGCUCGUAGCUAUGCUCCUGAAUUCCUCUGGCAGCCCUCCUCAAGGACCUCUGUGAGACAAAGUCAGAAAUGACUUCACUGGAGACCAAGAGAGCCCACAGAGCUCUUCCUGCUGCUUCUUCUACCCUUGUACUCACUCGGCUCUCUAAAUUUGUCUCAGCUCCAGACACGUGGGAAGAUUACCUUUCUCUGAUGUCUUGGGAUUGAACUGAGCUAUGUGGCUAGUUACAGGCCAAUAGGCUGUUAGCAGAUGUGACAUCUAACACAACUAGGCUGCAGUUUGAAAUAAAUACCAGUGCACAGCCUCCAGAAUUCCUCCCCUGCUAAGGUGACUGAGAAGACCUCAGCUGAGAUGGUGGGAAAAAAAAAUAUUCAAGCAGCUUGGAUAACGAAGUUCCUAAAUGGAAGAACAUUGUCCCAGAGAGUCACUUGAACCCAGAAUAGAUUUACGUGAUCAGACAAUAAACCUCUAUGACACCCUGAGUUUAUUUUGUUUUUUGAUUUUGUUACUGCAGCAUAACUCAACAUACCCUGACUGGUAUAGUCAUGGAGAUUAUCAUCAGGAUCUCCUAUGCUCCUGCAUAUGACACAGCCAGAGUUCUGCAGACAUUUAACUUUGGGCAUCUAAAUAUCAUAAAUGC